rnacentral:rRNA from 1 species
UCAUAAGAAUGUGAAGCCGUUAGAAGCUUAAACGGGUGGAACUGCGAAGGACGAGGGAGGGCAUUCAAGCCACUGGCUCUGCGGGAGGGGGGACAUAUGCUUUUUCCGUACCAGAUGGGGGUGCGGCAUUGGCGCCCCUCCUCUUGCCGACAGUGGGUGUACUUGUUUCCUCCUAAGUGAACGCAGCGAGCCGUUGGCGGGAGCCAGGAGGGCGUAUAAAAGUCAUUCCCGGACUGGUAGCCAUUGUUGGGGGGCGAAACCGGGAUGCGCUGCUCGAUGACUGGCUCUUUGUGACGCGACGGCCCGUACUGAGGGAGGUGGCCGUUUAGCGGCUGUGGGUGCUGUUGCUGUUCUUUGCCGUUGCCUCGGUGGCGGUGGAGGGCGGUGGUGGUGCUCUCGGCGGCGGCGGCGGCCUCUCGCUGUGAAGUAGCGGUGAUCCACCCGACCCGUCUUGAAACACGGACCAAGGAGUCUAACCUGUGCGCGAGUCUAAGGGUCUGAUAGGAAGACCUGGAGGCGCAAUGAAAGUGAGUGGGGUGAAAAAGAAUUUUUUCUUUUUGCUAAGAGCUGGCCGAUCCCCGGGGGUAAGAUCCCGGGGCGCAGGCCGAGGACUCGCCGCACGGCGGCCGCGCGCUCUGGCCUGGCUUUCCUCC